rnacentral:ncRNA from 1 species
AGCUUUGGAGAAUGCCACUAAUCUGGCUGCCGAAGGUGUAAGGUGUUGUACUGCAGUGUUUUUCUGGGUACCACUGAAUCUCUCAGGCAAAGGGGACA